rfam:complete chromosome Acholeplasma palmae.
UACCUACAUUGGCAAAGUUAUCGAAAGAUAAUGACGCAAAGCUAUAGGGCCUUUAAUAUGGUAGCCAGCUGCCUUG